rnacentral:misc_RNA from 1 species
UGCAAUCUUUUGCAACAGUCCCAGCCCAACACGAAGUAUAUAGAUAUCUCGAACUACAACAUGGCGCAGAUUAGGACGCUGAACUUUAACAGCAACAUUACAACCAUCAAGAGUAUUGCCAUAAUACACCUGACCAAAUGAUGCUGCAGCUACAGGUUCCUCAGAGAUGUAGCUAAAGAAGGAUUCAACUGGAGAACCUAACUCUUCCUCAAUGAUUUUCAUAGCCAUGGUCCUAGGAAAAGGAGGGAUUUGAUCAUGCAGCUCAGAAAGUGCCUUGGAAAUUUCAGUACCAAUUAUGUCUGGUCUUGUGGAAUUUGAUAAAAGUGGGACCCAGGCUUAGCAUUGCUUCUUUUAAGACCAGACCAAAAUCAUACUGUGAGAUGUUUCCAUUUAUAUCCUUAUCUGAACUUGUUCUUAGAAACUUUUUGAUCCCGGAGGUCCGAAUUUUGAUUGUGGCAGAAGCAAAGGCUGAAAACACCUCAAGAAGUCGAAGGGCCACUACAUGAGGCCUGCAACUGAAAUAGUCAGUAACAUCUUGGGGAUUGUAGACUUCAGGAAGCGGCUUGGACCAAAUCUUAGAUACAUAGUAGAAAUAACUAGCAUAUGCUUCCAAAGCUUUGAGAUCAGCCAUGAAUAAAUCUACUCCAGAAAGUCC